UACGUAGGGGGCAAGCGUUGUCCGGAUUUACUGGGCGUAAAGAGCGCGCAGGCGGUCGACCAAGUCGCGUGUGAAAGCCCCCGGCUCAACUGGGGAGGGUCACGCGAUACUGAUCGACUCGAAGGCAGGAGAGGGUAGUGGAAUUCCCGGUGUAGUGGUGAAAUGCGUAGAUAUCGGGAGGAACACCAGUGGCGAAGGCGGGUCUCUGGGGCCGAUACUGACGCUGAGGAGCGAAAGCGUGGGGAGCGAACAGG
rnacentral:rRNA from 1 species